UACAGAGGGUGCGAGCGUUGUCCGGAAUCACUGGGCGUAAAGGGCGCGUAGGCGGCGCGGUAAGCGUGCGGUGAAAGCCUGGGGCUCAACCCCGGGUCGGCCGUGCGGACUGCCGGGCUGGAGCACUGUAGAGGCAGGUGGAAUUCCGGGUGUAGCGGUGGAAUGCGUAGAGGUCCGGAAGAACACCGGUGGCGAAGGCGGCCUGCUGGGCAGUAGCUGACGCUGAAGCGCGACAGCGUGGGGAGCAAACAGG
rnacentral:rRNA from 1 species